rnacentral:rRNA from 1 species
AUGAGCAAGGCACUCAGCCCGCGCUACCAGGGAUUAUCCACUUACGAGAAAGAGUACUUGGCUAUUAUUGUGGCUGUUGAUCAGUGGCGCCCGUACCUUCAACAUGCAGAGUUUUAUAUCCUGACCGAUCAGAAGAGCCUGGUGCACCUGGAAGAGCAACGUUUGACAACCCCCUGGCAGCAAAAGGCAUUCACAAAACUUCUCGGCCUGCGCUAUCCGAAUCGUUAG